UCCGAAUUGGUGUAGUGGUUAACAUUUGACGCUCUCAAAGCCCCAUUUCGCAACAGUGCCGUCAAGCCCGGGGUUCGAUUCCCCGAUUCGGAG